GAAUAAUUGGGCUGCAACAUCUGUCACUCCAUGCUUAGCAGCGUUGAUUGGGCUCAGCUUGCUGGCUGGGCUAGAAUCCUAUUUUUGCCCCAAAGCUCCUUGUAUGUCAUCUCCCAAGCCUGCACGCUUGAGCUGAGAGGGCACAUUUUCAGGGAGAGAAUAUCUGAUUUUUGAUAAGAGACGUAAGUGAGGCUAGCUCUCCUACUACACAUUUUAAACAAGUUGGCAGGUUCCACUUGUCAUCAAACUGCAACUACUAAGUUCUUUUAUUUACAUUUGUUCAAUAUUUUUUUGACUGUCCUACU
rfam:Nomascus leucogenys chromosome 2, whole genome shotgun sequence.